UACGUAGGGUGCGAGCGUUACUCGGAAUUACUGGGCGUAAAGCGUGCGCAGGCGGCGCGUUAAGACAGGUGUGAAAGCCCCGAGCUUAACUUGGGAAUUGCGCUUGUGACUGGCGAGCUGGAGUGUGGCAGAGGGAGGUGGAAUUCCACGUGUAGCAGUGAAAUGCGUAGAGAUGUGGAGGAACACCGAUGGCGAAGGCAGCCUCCUGGGCCAGCACUGACGCUCAUGCACGAAAGCGUGGGGAGCAAACAGG
rnacentral:rRNA from 1 species